CACAAAUAUGAAGGCGGGCUGGAAACCUCUCGGGGUUACAGCCCUGCUGAAUUAUUCACCCUUGUCUUUUGCGUACUUCUUGUUUCCUUGGUGGGUUCGCCCACCACUAGGACAAACAUAACCUUUUGUAAUUGCAAUCAGCGUCAGUAACAAUUAAUAAUUA
rnacentral:misc_RNA from 1 species